rnacentral:lncRNA from 1 species
CCUAGUUUUUGGUGGGGUUCGUGUUGUUUAUUCUUUAGUUUUCUAUGUUGUGUCGUGUGUACUAUUGUUUUUCUGUUUGUUUUUUUUAUUUUUAGCCAUGGCGUUGUCAGUUUGUUUUAGAUUUAUGAGUUUGACUGUCCCUUUGGUAUCAUUCGUCCCUCUUUUAUCAGCCCGCUAUUGAAAUUCCAAGGAAUCUGGUCAAUAAACCUAGUAAUCCUUUCAUAGCCUUAUGAUAUUUUCAAAUGUUAUUGAACUGUAAAAUUUAAG